rnacentral:rRNA from 1 species
UACAGAGGUCUCAAGCGUUGUUCGGAUUCAUUGGGCGUAAAGGGUGUGUAGGUGGCGCCGUAAGUCGGGUGUGAAAUUUCGGAGCUUAACUCCGAUACUGCAUUCGAUACUGCGGUGCUUGAGGACUGGAGAGGAGACUGGAAUUCAUGGUGUAGCAGUGAAAUGCGUAGAGAUCAUGAGGAAGACCAGUGGCGAAGGCGGGUCUCUGGACAGUUCCUGACACUGAGACACGAAGGCCAGGGGAGCAAACGGG